CGUGAGAUGUUGGGUUAAGUCCCGCAACGAGCGCAACCCCUAUCUUAUGUUGCCAGCACGUAAAGGUGGGAACUCAUGAGAGACUGCCGCAGACAAUGCGGAGGAAGGCGGGGAUGACGUCAAAUCAUCAUGCCCCUUAUGACCUGGGCUACACACGUACUACAAUGGGAGUUAAUAGACGGAAGCGAGAUCGCGAGAUGGAGCAAACCCGAGAAACACUCUCUCAGUUCGGAUCGUAGGCUGCAACUCGCCUACG
rnacentral:rRNA from 1 species